UACAGAGACUGCAAGCGUUAUUCGGAUUCACCGGGCGUAAAGGGUGCGCAGGCGGCCAAGUGUGUCAGGUGUGAAAUCCCGAGGCUUAACCUCGGAACUGCGCCUGAAACUACUUGGCUAGAGUACUGGAGAGGGUAACGGAAUUCACGGUGUAGCAGUGAAAUGCGUAGAUAUCGUGAGGAACACCAGGAGGCGAAGGCGGUUACCUGGACAGUUACUGACGCUCAGGCACGAAAGCGUGGGGAGCAAAAGGG
rnacentral:rRNA from 1 species